rnacentral:rRNA from 1 species
GUGGGGAAUUUUGCGCAAUGGGCGAAAGCCUGACGCAGCGACGCCGCGUGGAGGAUGAAGGUCCUUGGAUUGUAAACUCCUGUCGGCUGGGAAGAAAUCCGCCGGGUAAACAGCCCGGUGGCCUGACUGUACCAGCAAAGGAAGCCCCGGCUAACUCCGUGCCAGCAGCCGCGGUAAUACGGAGGGGGCAAGCGUUGUUCGGAAUCAUUGGGCGUAAAGGGCGUGUAGGCGGCCGGAUAAGUCGGAUGUGAAAUCCCUCAGCUCAACUGAGGAAUUGCAUUCGAUACUGCCUGGCUAGAGUCCGGGAUGGGGUAGCGGAAUUCCCAGUGUAGCGGUGAAAUGCGUAGAUAUUGGGAAGAACACCGGUAGCGAAGGCGGCUACCUGGACCGGAACUGACGCUGAGGCGCGAAAGCCAGGGGAGCGAAUGGGAUUAGAAACCCUAGUAGUCC